rnacentral:rRNA from 1 species
GAUGAACGCUGGCGGCGUGCCUAAUACAUGCAAGUCGAGCGAAGCGGGGACGGGUGAGUAACACGUGGAUAACCUCCUAUAAGACUGGGAUAACUUCGGGAAACCGGAGCCAAACCGGCUACUUAUAGAUGUAUCCGCGCUGCAUUAGCUAGUUGGUAAGGUAACGGCUUACCAAGGCAACGAUGCAUAGCCGACCUGAGAGGAUGAUCGGCCACACGGGAACUGAGACACGGUCCAGACUCCUACGGGAGGCAGCAGUGGGGAAGCUUCCGCAAUGGGCGAAAGCCUGACGGAGCAAGGCCGCGUGGGUGAUGAAGGUCUUCGGGUCGUAAAGCUCUUUUAUUAGGGAAGCGGUACCUAAACAGAAAGCCACGGCUAACUACGUGCCAGCAGCCGCGGUAAUAC